CCCCCCCCCCCCCCCCCCCCCCCCGCAGGCCGCGCCGCGGAACAAAAGGCACCUUUUCUCACUCCAUGUUGUCUCGCCUAAACCCCGAGCCUGCGAGGCACCUCUUGCCCGGCCGCGCGCCCCCAUCUCCCCCCCAGUUCCCCUGCGCUGCCCCCAUCCUGCCUUUUCCUGAGGGCGCUCCGGGAAUCCCAUUUUCAGGGCGGCGGGUAGCCUUUGUCCUCAGCUGAUCCCUGCGCGGCUGAAGGGUAAACCCCAAGCUAACCUCUCCCUACGCGACCCGGCUUUACUCGGUGUCGGAAACGCAGCGGAGGAUGCGGCGCCCCGUUACGAGCAGCCGGCGGGGACUGCUAAAAGCCUGAGAGCGCCCUGAAAGCCGGGGAGGGGGAAGCGACCCGCCGCCGGCCCCUCCAGAUUAAAGGCGUGUUUAUUCCCUACCCUUCUUCCCAAGUACAUCAGAUCAACUUCUGCUCAUAUUUUACAAAAUUAGAUAAUUCAGCCCUAAGCCGUGCUUAGCCAUGGAUUUCAGGCUGGAAAAUGGAAGCUCUGGAAACGGAUGUUCUGCACUGCAUGAACUACUGAAACAGAAAUUCUCAAGUAAUCCUAAUUGCAGCUAUCUUAAAAAGUUCUGUAUAAUACAGUGCUUGUCUUGUAACCAUUUUGAACACUUCUGAUUUUUCAUUUAUGUUAAUAAUCAGCUGUAUUUUCUCUUUUCAUCCCAACAGAAGCUAUAGAAGAAUCCUCAAAUGAUCGAUUCUCACUUAAGGGGUUGCCUUCUUUCCCAUCCCUCCCUCUCCCCACCCAAAAAUAGGUCAGUUUAGAAAACAAGGAGAUGGACUCAUAUUAAACCAUAGUGAAUGUGACCUGAAAGAGACAGGCACAAGUUCAGCAUAAUAUUCUGACAACUCCCAGCAAGCUUGACACAAGGAUAAAUACAAACUGUUCCUUGUAAGUCAUGUAAUUGUUAGUUAACAUGAUUCUUCAAGGUUACACUGUACUUGGAUUAUGUUUUUAAAAUGAAGAUGCACAGAAAAACACCAAUGCAUUGCAGAGUUCGGAUAUGAAGAAGCCGGAACAAACCCCAAAUUAUUUCCAUCAAAUACUUCCGUGUUCAUAUAAGGUAAACUUGCUUCUCUGAUGACAGAAAUAUUUUAGGAAGAAAAUAUGUUCUGAUUAUCAUCUUCAGGGCACUUUCAGUGAUGUUUUAUGGCAGUGAUUUAAAACAAAAUCUUAGUCAUUCAACAUUUUAACUGAAAAUUGCAUAUUAUGCAAGCAGUUUAUCAAACCCAUUGAGAUACCUACCUAAUAAUAAUGUAAUAAUAAAUAAUGAUAGUACUUAAAGAGGUUUUCAUCUACAGAUCUCAAACCAUACAGCAAAGGCAAAUAAGUAUUAGUAUUGUCAGACCUAAUUGAAAUGUUAGGAGCAUUGAGAUUAAAUAUAUGAAGGCAAUAGAAAGUUAGAUGAAGCAUCCUCAAGAGAGUUGUAUUUCCCAAGUGGAGCUGGGUGCAGAGACUUGUUAUGAUGAUGGCUGGUGACAGCUCAUUGCAUGGCAGGAGUCAGAGUGGUGCUUGCAGAGUUGGGAGCCAGGCAGAAGAUCUUGCACUGUAGCAGAGUUAAGCAAGUACGAUACAAGUGAUGCCCUUUGAAUUUGUACCAGGACCUACUUCACCACACACUGACUGAAGAUUGCCACAGGAGAAAGAAAACCUGCAUGGUGCGUUAUUAUCUUUGUGUUCACAUGUGCAUAUGCAAUCACUUUCCUUUCUCAAUCUGAGCCAUGUUGGUGCUGUCAGUGGCUGAGAGCAUGCAGACUUCGUUAACCGCACCACCAUUUGAUGCUUUAUCAUGGCCAGAUCUACAGGCAAGCCUCACCGGGUCACUUAUCCUUCAAGUUCCAGAAAUUUUUUAUAGUAUCCAGGUAAUAAGAAGAGCCUAUUGCUGUUAACCACAAUCGCCUCAUCCAUCCAGCCACAAGCACAGUCAGCCUUUAAACCUGGCAAUGUUUAUUUCUGUGUUUUGUGGCUUUGUUUUGUUUCUGCCUCCCUGGCUGUAAAUGAAAUCCCUUCAGCCCAGCACAAAGCAUAUUCAUCACCAAAGGCCUACAUUGCUGGCUUUAGGACUGUAAAUCAUCUGCUCAUGUACAGAGGCCCAGAUAGCUCUCCUUGAGUGCUUACAGCCCAAGAUUGUUCCCACCACAGAUGCAGGUACAGUGGGUAAGAGCCAUGUGUAGGGAACGACGAUUCAAGUUCAGCAUUGCUUCGCUUAAUUUCUUCAUGUCUUCUCCUGUAACAGCAACCCUUACCCUGAAUAAAGCAGACAGGGUGUCUACGUAGCGUCAUGGGAGAGAGAGGUACCCAAAAGGCAGGUAUUGAUGGCAUUUCAGAGCCAGGCGGGCUGGGCCUCUGUGGGACGCUCCACAACGUGGCAUGCUGAGGCAGUCUCAGGCCUCUAGCUGCUGGUGGGGUUUCUUCUCGCAUUAGACAUCAAGGAUGAGAAUGUUUUUUUCUUACAUAGUGUGCUUUCUUUCUCUAAAGACGCAAGUCUGCAGCUCUUUUCUACUUGAUUUGGAGCAAGAUUCGGCAGGAGCUUUGCUAUUUCUUUGGGUCAGACCUUUCCCACUUUGCAUAAAUAAAUAUUCACUAGAGCAGGGACUCCAAUCUUGGUUUUCCACCCACUGAUGACCUGAAUCAAAGUGGCAGAGAGACCUUUUAUCUUGGUGCUGUUUUAUGUAAGGCCUGUGAAGUAUGGUCUGAUCGCCUGCUGCAGAAGGCCAAGGAGCAUGAAGCAUGCUGGUGUCAGGAUUUUAGUUGAGAGGCCAGCUCAACUCAGCACUGGAAAUGCAGGUAAUUCAAAAAUGUUGGCAAUGGUAAUAUAGGCUUCUUCACUCACAGGUGGCAAUUAGGCAUGAAUUUUAAGUAUCUUAUCUAUCAAUUAGAUAUGUGAAUCUGCAGAUACCUGUAAUGGUAGUCAUUCAGCUGUAGAUGGCAAAAAUUAGACUUUCACAUUUAAGCUAAUUAUUUCCCUUAAUAAUCACUUUCAGGGGGCUUUCACGGAAGACAAAUUGCACUCUGGAAGUGCUCCUUUCCCUCCAUUGGCUCUAAAUGGGGCCUACAGUGACUAGCCCUAUCUUUUAGAUGCCUAAAGUCUGUGGUCCUCCCUUCUAGGCUUAUCUGUGAGUCCUUCUCACUGUUCCUAUUAGUUUGGGUAGAAGUGAGAAUUAAAGAUUAUUAUUAUGUUGGUUAGUGUGAAUGAUCUAUUUGAAAACAGAAGCAGACUACAAAACUGUAAGAUUUGCCAUCCCAGACCAAUCUGGCCACAAAGGGUAGCGCUUGUGGUGUGCAACUGGUUACUGCAGGGUGCCUCAAAGGGAGAACAAAAGUGCCCUAUAAAGCAUUUUACUUGUUUUAUGUAAAGCACAAACAAUUUAUGGAAAUGACAUUUAACUGAUUAUUCAAUGUCCAAUUAUGUAUCACACCUAGAAUAAUUCCUGAAGCUGGAGAAAUAAAACGCUGAAUGACUCCAUUUAGGAAAUCCUUUUGACUCAAGUGCUUUCCUUGAAACAGCAAAUAGCUGGAUGACCUCAAGCACAUAUUUAAUUGUGCCUUGUAAUAAAGUAAUGUAAUUAGCGCUUGCUUAAGAAUGACGCUUAAAAAUACCUAACAGGUACUACAGAAAUGCAUUGAUUUGAGAGGUUUUGUUUUCUUUUGACUUUUUUUAGUAUAAUUUUUUUAGUAUAAGAUAAGUUUGCAUCUGAAUUUAGCUUCUACAUGAGUUCUCCAAAUGGUUCCUCAGAGUGUGAAGAAGUGAGCAGUUUUAUUUGACAACAAAUCACUAAUGGCUCCAGGGUUCUCCUCGCUUAGAGGAUAAAAUUAAGCUUGCAGGAGGGCAGUAAAGGCACAUAUUUAGCCAGACUUGCACAGUGCCCUGGCCAGGCACACAGCCCAGCACAUAUGCCACUUAGAGCUACUCAAGUGAGGGAGGUCUGAGUAAAUACAUGGAGAAGAAGAGACUCCCAAUCUCCCCCUCCCUUUUUUUUUUCUUUAUUUUUCUCUACCAGAUGCUACCACUAGUAGUGGCAGUUUUGGUGACACUGACCUAUAUAUCACUUCACAGUGGUUUACGUUCUGCUGGCAAUAGAAACAGAGCACAGGUGAGCAGAAUAAUAAAAAUGAUGAAAACAAAA